GAUGAACGCUGGCGGCGUGCCUAAUACAUGCAAGUAGAACGCUGAAGCUUGGUGCUUGCACCGAGCGGAUGAGUUGCGAACGGGUGAGUAACGCGUAGGUAACCUGCUUCUUAGCGGGGGAUAACUAUUGGAAACGAUAGCUAAUACCGCAUAAAAGUCGACAUCGCAUGAUGUUGACUUGAAAGGUGCAAAUGCAUCACUAAGAGAUGGACCUGCGUUGUAUUAGCUAGUUGGUGAGGUAACGGCUCACCAAGGCGACGAUACAUAGCCGACCUGAGGGGGUGAUCGGCCACACUGGGACUGAGACACGGCCCAGACUCCUACGGGAGGCAGCAGUAGGGAAUCUUCGGCAAUGGGGGCAACCCUGACCGAGCAACGCCGCGUGAGUGAAGAAGGUUUUCGGAUCGUAAAGCUCUGUUGUAAGAGAAGAACGAGUGUGAGAGUGGAAAGUUCACACUGUGACGGUAACUUACCAGAGAGGGACGGCUAACUACGUGCCAGCAGCCGCGGUAAUACGUAGGUCCCGAGCGUUAUCCGGAUUUAUUGGGCGUAAAGCGAGCGCAGGCGGUUAGAUAAGUCUGAAGUUAAAGGCUGUGGCUUAACCAUAGUACGCUUUGGAAACUGUUUAACUUGAGUGCAGAAGGGGAGAGUGGAAUUCCAUGUGUAGCGGUGAAAUGCGUAGAUAUAUGGAGGAACACCGGUGGCGAAAGCGGCUCUCUGGUCUGUAACUGACGCUGAGGCUCGAAAGCGUGGGGAGCAAACAGG
rnacentral:rRNA from 1 species